rnacentral:rRNA from 1 species
AUUGAACGCUGGCGGCAUGCUUUACACAUGCAAGUCGAACGGCCGCGCGGGCUUCGGCCUGGCGGCGAGUGGCGAACGGGUGAGUAAUGCAUCGGAACGUGCCCAGUCGUGGGGGAUAGCCCGGCGAAAGCCGGAUUAAUACCGCAUACGACCUGAGGGUGAAAGCGGGGGACCGAAAGGCCUCGCGCUUUUGGAGCGGCCGAUGUCGGAUUAGCUAGUUGGUGGGGUAAAGGCUUACCAAGGCGACGAUCCGUAGCUGGUCUGAGAGGACGACCAGCCACACUGGGACUGAGACACGGCCCAGACUCCUACGGGAGGCAGCAGUGGGGAAUUUUGGACAAUGGGGGCAACCCUGAUCCAGCCAUGCCGCGUGCGUGAAGAAGGCCUUCGGGUUGUAAACCGCUUUUGUUCGGGAAGAAAUCCUCUGGGCUAAUACCCCGGGGGGAUGACGGUACCGAAAGAAUAAGCACCGGCUAACUACGUG